rnacentral:rRNA from 1 species
GUACCAUAAGCCCAAUCUGUGAAUCGACACUUGUGUUGAAUUGUGGAAUGAAGAUGAGUCCRUCCUGUUUGUAGACCAAGUCCUCUGGAAUGGGGCAGCAUAGAGGGUGACACUCCCGUAUGUCUUUGAAUAUGAGGACUCUUCAAAGAGUCGAGUUGUUUGGGAUUGCAGCUCUAAGGGGUGGUAAAUUCCACCCAAGGCUAAAUACUGGUGAGAGACCGAUAGUAUACAAGUACCGUGAGGGAAAGAUGCAAAGCCGCGCGAAAGCGCCAUCAAAGAGUACCUGAAAUUGCUGAAAAGGAAGCAAAGGAAACUAGUGUAAGCCAUCCUGCACUUCCCUGACUGCUUGCAGUUGGGGCGCUGCGGCUG